rnacentral:rRNA from 1 species
GCGGCGUGCUUAAUACAUGCAAGUCGAGCGGACGGAAGGGAGCUUGCUCCCGGAAGUCAGCGGCGGACGGGUGAGUAACACGUGGGUAACCUGCCUGUAAGACUGGGAUAACUCCGGGAAACCGGGGCUAAUACCGGAUAGCUUCUUCCUCCGCAUGGAGGAAGAAUGAAAGGCGGCCUUUGGCUGUCACUUACAGAUGGACCCGCGGCGCAUUAGCUAGUUGGUGGGGUAACGGCUCACCAAGGCGACGAUGCGUAGCCGACCUGAGAGGGUGAUCGGCCACACUGGGACUGAGACACGGCCCAGACUCCUACGGGAGGCACGCAGUAGGGAAUCUUCCCGCAAUGGACGAAAGUCUGACGGAGCAACGCCGCGUGAGUGAAGCAAGGUUUUCGGAUCGUAAAGCUCUGUUGUCAGGGAAGAACAAGUACCGGAGUCACUGCCGGUACCUUGACGGUACCUGACCAGAAAGCCACGGCUAACUACGUGCCAGCAGCCGCGGUAAUACGUAGGUGGCAAGCGUUGUCCGGAAUUAUUGGGCGUAAAGCGCGCGCAGGCGGCCUUUUAAGUCUGAUGUGAAAGCCCACGGCUCAACCGUGGAGGGUCAUUGGAAACUGGAAGGCUUGAGUGCAGAAGAGGAGAGCGGAAUUCCACGUGUAGCGGUGAAAUGCGUAGAGAUGUGGAGGAACACCAGUGGCGAAGGCGGCUCUCUGGUCUGUAACUGACGCUGAGGCGCGAAAGCGUGGGGAGCGAACAGGAUUAGAUACCCUGGUAGUCCACGCCGUAAACGAUGAGUGCUAAGUGUUGGAGGGUUUCCGCCCUUCAGUGCUGCAGCUAACGCAUUAAGCACUCCGCCUGGGGAGUACGGCCGCAAGGCUGAAACUCAAAGGAAUUGACGGGGGCCCGCACAAGCGGUGGAGCAUGUGGUUUAAUUCGAAGCAACGCGAAGAACCUUACCAGGUCUUGACAUCCUCUGACACCUCUGGAGACAGAGCGUUCCCCUUCGGGGGACAGAGUGACAGGUGGUGCAUGGUUGUCGUCAGCUCGUGUCGUGAGAUGUUGGGUUAAGUCCCGCAACGAGCGCAACCCUUGACCUUAGUUGCCAGCAUUCAGUUGGGCACUCUAAGGUGACUGCCGGUGACAAACCGGAGGAAGGUGGGGAUGACGUCAAAUCAUCAUGCCCCUUAUGACCUGGGCUACACACGUGUUACAAUGGAUGGUACAAAGGGCAGUGAAGCCGCGAGGUGAAGCCAAUCCCAUAAAACCAUUCUCAGUUCGGAUUGCAGGCUGCAACUCGCCUGCAUGAAGCCGGAAUCGCUAGUAAUCGCGGAUCAGCAUGCCGCGGUGAAUACGUUCCCGGGCCUUGUACACACCGCCCGUCACACCACGAGAGUUUGCAACACCCGAAGUCGGUGGGGUAACCCUUACGGGAGCCAGCCGCCUAAGGUGGGGCAGAUGAUUGGGGUGAAGUCGUAACAAGGUAGCCGU